rnacentral:rRNA from 1 species
UACGUAGGGUGCGAGCGUUAAUCGGAAUUACUGGGCGUAAAGGGUGCGCAGGCGGCCAUGUAAGUCAGAUGUGAAAGCCCCGGGCUUAACCUGGGAAUUGCGUUUGAAACUGCAAGGCUAGAGUGUGAUAGAGGGGAGUGGAAUUCCAUGUGUAGCAGUGAAAUGCGUAGAGAUGUGGAAGAACACCGAUGGCGAAGGCAGCUCCCUGGGUUAACACUGACGCUCAUGCACGAAAGCGUGGGGAGCAAACAGG